rnacentral:tRNA from 1 species
CCGAUAGCUCAGUUGGUAGAGCAAAGGACUGAAAAUCCUUGUGUCGAGGGUUCGAUUCCCCCUUGGGC